UUCUCUCCGCAUUUGCUUCCUUUUGUCUCUGUAUGUUUCCCAUUAAAACCCAGCCUCUCCUCAAUUCCUCCGACUCUCCUCUCUCUCUCUCACUCCCCUUCCCAAUCGAACCGAGUCUCAACCGCAGGUUCUGUCUCUCUCUGUCUCUCUCUCUCUCUUUCCCCCCCUUCCCAAUCGAACCGAGUCUCUUCAACCCGAGGCUCUCUCUCUCUCUUUAUCUUUUUCCCAAGUUUUUCUAUUUUGCAGAUUCUAUUUCUCUCGCCUCUCCCCUUCCCAAUCAAACCGAGUCGAGUUCGCAUCUCACGCUAAAAUAGAAUUUGCAAAUCCUUCCCCUUCAAAUUUCACACACACUGCGAAUAGGUGGGUCUCAACUCAAAUCUCAAGUCGAGUUCACACAUUCUCACAGACUCUGCAAAUCAUUCUCCUUCACACACAAUUUGCAAAUCAGUCGGCCUCAACUCUCAUCUCAUCCCCAGUUCCUCUUCGGUUCAGUGUCUGCAUAAUGCGAUUCCUUCCUCUCCACUUCGUUCCAGGUAAAAUGGUGCCAUGGAUACAAGUUAGCAUGUCCCUGUCACUACUGUUAAUGGUUAUGCCUCCAGUUUUCCUUAUGGUUGUUGGAAUGGGAAGAUUCUGCACAUCAGCUUGUUAGUCUUUAAUGCUCUUGCGAUAAAGGGCGUUUCAGCUCUCUGGUGGCAGUCGAUCAGUGUUUUCCAAGAAAGAAAAUGCCAAUGCAGUUCUCCUUGUUGCAAGCCAGGUGAGACAUAUGUACAUCUAUCCUCUCAAAACCUUGCACAUUUCUUUUUCUUUCUAAAGUUUACUUUCGCUGACCACUAUGAAAUAUGUUUGCCCUCCAACUGUUGAACUUCCCAUCCUUGGUGAAAAUGUGACUUGGUCUGCGAUCUCUUGUAGGCCAAAAUGACAUUAUUUAGGAUAAUUAUCAACUUUUGUUGUUGUAAGUUGCAACUUAGUACAAAGAAGUAUCAACUUUUGUCUUGCUUAUCCACUUACUGAUGUCCAGAAUUUCAAGGAGGAUAGGGAAAAACCAUUUGAAGGAAUACUUAAAUAGAAAUGGAAGAUCUUCUCCUGAUGAUCAUCUUCAUUAAUUCGUUUAUGGAGCAGCAGAGAUUCGAUGAGGUGCAAGGCUUGCUGGGGAAGAUACAUCCAUCAAAAAAUGUCUGCUUUCAAGUUCUUUUUGCAUUAGAGAUGAAAUAUGUAACAUUACAAUAUAUGUUUGUGAAAUCGGGAAUGUAUUGUAGACUUUCUACAUUUUAUGAAAAUUAAAAAUAAAAAAAAAUAAAAAAAACCUCAA